rnacentral:rRNA from 1 species
UGCCAGCAGCCGCGGUAAGACGUAGGAUGCAAGCGUUGUCCGGAUUUAUUGGGCGUAAAGAGUUCGUAGGCGGUUAGUUAAGUCUGGUGUUAAAUCCCGUGGCUCAACCACGGAGCUGCAUUGGAUACUGGCUAACUUGAGUGCGGUAGAGGCGAGUGGAAUUCCCAGUGUAGCGGUGAAAUGCGUAGAUAUUGGGAAGAACACCGGUGGCGUAGGCGACUCGCUGGGCCGUAACUGACGCUGAGGAACGAAAGCUAGGGGAGCGAAUGGGAUUAGAUA